AUGGAGGCAAAAGAAUCAGGGUCAAAACCUUUUAGAUUGAACUCAGCUGGCUACAAAGAGAAGAUCUCAUUUGAGAAAGUCGAAAAAAUUUGGUCUGAGUGCAUUGUUGCAAGAGACAGUUUGGAUGUGAUGCAGAAGAAGACGAAAAAGGCUACUAAAUAUCUAAAAGGCUGGGGUAGAAAUCUGAUCGGACAAGUUUUAAAAAAUAGGGCAGAAAUGAUUGAUGAGCUGAAAGACUUGGAAGAGCUUGAGGAAAUCCAACCUCUGAAUGAUGAAGAAAUGGCAAGAAGGGGUCAAAUUCAGAGUUGUGUUUGUGAGUCUCUGGAAGAAGAUGAGGAAUACUGGCAUCAAGAAAACACCAAUACUUCCAGCAACCAGCGUAUCCGUAUCGGAUACUAUAUCUUCAUCAUUCAGAGACUGGACUUUUUCCUGCCGGCUGAUUCUUUCCUGCCGGUGGUGGGCUCCUUUCUCCGGUGCUCUGCUCCCCUUCCCCCACUAUCCUGUAGAAUUCAAUCUAAUGGAAGGCUGCUGAUUUCCUCCUCCUCCCUUUCUCUCUAA
rnacentral:rRNA from 1 species